AGUGAACGCUGGCGGCAGGCCUAAUACAUGCAAGUCGAACGGCAGCACAGCAGAGCUUGCUCUGUGGGUGGCGAGUGGCGGACGGGUGAGGAAUACGUGGGAAUCUGCCCAGUCGUGGGGGAUAACGUAGGGAAACUUACGCUAAUACCGCAUGCGCCCUUCGGGGAAAGCCGGGGACCUUCGGGCCUGGCGCGAUUGGAUGAGCCCACGUCGGAUUAGCUAGUUGGCGGGGUAAAGGCCCACCAAGGCGACGAUCCGUAGCUGGUCUGAGAGGAUGAUCAGCCACACUGGAACUGAGACACGGUCCAGACUCCUACGGGAGGCAGCAGUAGGGAAUAUUGGACAAAUGGGCGCAAGCCUGAUCCAGCCAUGCCGCGUGAGUGAAGAAGGCCCUCGGGUUGUAAAGCUCUUUUGUCCGGAAGAAAAGCGCCGGGUUAAUACCCUGGUGUCCUGACGGUACCGGAAGAAUAAAGCACCGGCUAACUUCGUGCCAGCAGCCGCGGUAAAGU
rnacentral:rRNA from 1 species